rnacentral:rRNA from 1 species
CAGCAGCCACGGGAAUACGGAGGGGGCUAGCGUUGUUCGGAAUUACUGGGCGUAAAGCGCACGUAGGCGGCUUUGCAAGUCAGAGGUGAAAGCCCGGGGCUCAACUCCGGAAUAGCCUUUGAGACUGCAUCGCUUGAACACGGGAGAGGUGAGUGGAAUUCCGAGUGUAGAGGUGAAAUUCGUAGAUAUUCGGAAGAACACCAGUGGCGAAGGCGGCUCACUGGACCGUUGUUGACGCUGAGGUGCGAAAGCGUGGGGAGCAAACAGGAUUAGAUACCCGCGUAGUCCCUGUCUCUUAUAA